GUAACUCUGAGCCCAAUGAUGACAAUGGUACUGCAGGAAUUAUAGGUGGUACAGUUGCUGCUGUUUGUACUUUGAUACUUGCAGCGGUUUUGCUUACUACUUACUUCUAUAGAAAACGGCAAAGUCGUUGCGAAAUUGACCGACCGAGAGACGAAAGUACCAUCAAAGAUGAUACUCGGAAUAUAUCAAAACUAGAAAAUGAUCACAAUAGGUAAGUAAAAUGGCAUUUACUAUGCACACUUAGAUUGAUUUAUUGAAUAUGUAUCGAAUUUGUUGUUUAUUUCAGGUACGACAACCUUGCCAUAUGUCAGAAAAGAAAACCUACCGAAACGUCUGACCUAGAUUUUGACAUUAAGGACGGCGAUGUCAAGAAUGGGGAAAUAAGGUACGAAGGGUUAACGACUCUUGGAUACACGGGCGAAAGAGAUUAUUCUGAACUGGAUUUUGCACAAAGACAUCAGGACACCAACCAGAGACAACCUACGGCCGAACUCGAAACCUACGAAAACAUUAGACUUGAUACAAGAAAAACUGCAAGCUUAUCGAUUUAAAAUCUUCACCGAAGUUAACAACGAUCACUUACAAAAUGUGUUGGCAAUUUGAUCCAGGAUCGCUGCGUUUGGAGAGUUACCAGAUGAUAACUAACCAUAACUUCUUGUUUUGUUUUGUUCAACAUAUUUGCAACGUACUUUGAUAGUUGACACUUAAAAUGCAAACAAGAUAUUACUCCUACAAACUGAAAGUAUAAUUAUCGCAAUAUCAAUUCAAUUGCAAUUUGUUAUUAACACAAUUUUGGAAAUUUCUUUUAAACUGUAAAUGUGUUCAUAGCGUUGUCGCCACUUGCUACCUUUGUCACAAAAGCAAGGGCCAUUAUUAGUAUUGCCCAUGGGCAAUGCAUGCGAAUACCAAAUAUUUCAUCUAAAAAAAUCUAUAUCACUACAGUUUAAUUUGAAGUAAAUAUAUAACGUAAAACGCUAUGAAUUAUGAAAAAUGAAUUUAAAUUGUUACAAUGAUUAUGUCAAUUUUAGGUUGCUUGUCAUUCUAAAGUUCUAGACAAUGAGUGAAAAAUAAGGCACUACAAAAAUGUCAAAAAUGUGUAGGUACACACAUCAGCAAAUUUACAAUUCCUCUCUUACCUAUGGCAGAAAACAAUGCAACACAUAAUAUGCUUAUUUUGAUAUAAUCCAGCGUUUGCACUAAUGCUGUCCCGGUAUCUCGAGGACACAACAUUUCGUGGAGGGAUUGUCUGGCAGACAGUGUGUAUAUAUAUACCAAAAUACAUGCUAGGGUAAAGAAGAAAUAAGUAAGCAAUCAAAGAAAAAAGUAGUACUUUCCAUCUGCGAUCAUGAUGUUCAAAUGUUUGCUUCAUUAUGUAAUUUCAUCACAUGAAUGACCACUUUGUUUUUACUUGUCUACAAAGAACAUAGCGAUGUAAUUUACACUUGUACAACUUGAUAUAGUACGUAAACAUGAAUCAUGUAAAUGGUAUGUUUUCUAUACAUCAUUGUUAAGGAGCGUAUGGGUGAUGAGGCCAGACGUGGUAUAAGAAAAUCGUGUAAAUCUGGAUGACGAACGGGUGGUGGUUUAUGAGUUUUCCCCAAAAAGAGGGUUUUAUCCCAGUUUUUUAUCGGUCAGUCUACUACGUCUUUAAGUUCCAUUUUAUGUCAAGCAUGUUGUUACCUAAACAUACUUCGCUCAUGUUGCCAACUCGUGCUGUUUAUGUUAAUUGGUUUCUUUGAGACUUCAAAAAGAAGAACAUUGAAAUAGUAUUGAUUUUGUAUUUUUCAUUAGGAGAUUUUAGAAUGGUAUUCAGGGGCGUCCUGUUUCGCUGACCUCUCAAAAGCAGAUACCCCUACAUAUAUAUGUAUAUAUGUUAUUUUAAUGUUAUUAUUCGAAUCCGUACUGCUGUGUUUUGAUGUUGUGUGUCAAUUGUUUAACAUCCUUAAUGCCUUAAAAAAGUGCCUCUAUCGGGCGAUCGCUCGUAAACGGUUGAAGUAAAUAACUCAAAGUACAACGACCAGGCCAGUAAUAACUCUUAUUUGACCUAAACAUUUCAUUAAAAGCAAAAAAAUAAAGGUCAACAAUCACUUAUCAAGAGACAAAACGUUACUUAAAGAAUGUAUCAAAACAGUUGCAGUUUCCACUGAACGUGCCAAGUCUACGCUUGCAUUUACUAAUGACGAUAGUUUCAUGGUUGUAUGAUUUGUGUUGUCUUGUGGAUUUUAAUGUGAACGAUUACUAGAUUUUUUUGCCUGUUUCUAUAUGUCUAUAUACCUUGGUUGAAUAUUAUUGUCAUUGGC